UUUGUUGGUUGGUGUUUCUCUACAGUGAUUUAUCAUAAAAUGCUCACAAGAAAGAUGCCCCGAAACACCAAGAGCAUUUAAAUUGUGGAACUGUUUCGAAGAAUACUCGCUCCUGAGGGCGUUAGAAAACAUUUAAAUCGAAUUUUAACAACAUCGAUUCUUAUGAAUAUGAACUAUUCCGGACCGUUUUCCAAAACAGGACUUAAUUCCUACGCAAAUUUAAACAUGGCUAUUUAUGAGUCACAAAAAGAAAUGGAUACACUUUUGGGGAUUAUGUGAAGGAAGUCCGAACAGCCUUUGCGAAACAAAAAAAAUAGGGUAUAUAAAGCCACAUAAAAAAAAAAAAACAAAAAAGCGACAGAGAGCAAAGAC